rnacentral:lncRNA from 1 species
CAGACAGGGAACAGGGUGGCUGGAGAGAGCCCUGCUUCCCUUCUCCAUCCUUGCUCCCUCAGGCUUCACUUCCCAACAGGCCAAGGAAAAGUAACUCUGCCGGGGGCACCUCCAAGACACCCAGGACAUUCUUGAUAAAUCUGUCCGCAGAAGCAGUCCUGCAUGAGUCAAGGAAAUCACCUGAUGGCCAGCGAGCCAAGGCUAACCGAGCAUUUUCAACAUGCCUGCUACCACUCGGCACAGGCACCCUGACGGCCCUGGGAAUGCAAAGAAAAUACCAUUAUAAGCCAGUCAGCAACAUUUUUCAAACAGGAUUUUCUCAAAUAAUUAUUUUUAAUCUAUCAUCCUAAAGAGAAUCUGAACACCUUUUUUGGCCAUUGCUGUAUUAGGAUUAUAGCAUUUUAAUCUGUGAAACAAUCAUUUAAUAUCUACAACAUCCAAAACAUUGUGCUAGGUAUUGGGGGUGAGUUUGGG